AGCAGCAGCCAUAUCACCCUGCAACUCACAACUGGCAACCCACUGAAGCUCAGCAGGUGUGAGCCUGGUCAGUACCUGGAUGGGGGAGACCUCCUGGGAAAAACUAAGGUUGCUGCUGGAU
rnacentral:rRNA from 1 species